UACGAAGGGAGCUAGCGUUGUUCGGAAUCACUGGGCGUAAAGCGCACGUAGGCGGUGUGUCAAGUCAGGCGUGAAAGCCCCGGGCUCAACCUGGGAACAGCGCUUGAGACUGGCACGCUCGAGUUCGGGAGAGGAUGGUGGAAUUCCCAGUGUAGAGGUGAAAUUCGUAGAUAUUGGGAAGAGCACCGAUGGCGAAGGCAGCCAUCUGGACCGACACUGACGCUGAGGCGCGAAAGCUAGGGGAGCAAACAGG
rnacentral:rRNA from 1 species